rnacentral:rRNA from 1 species
AGGGCACCACCAGGAGUGGAGCCUGCGGCUUAAUUUGACUCAACACGGGAAAACUCACCCGGCCCGGACACCGCGAGGAUUGACAGAUUGACAGCUCUUUCAUGAUUCGGUGGAUGGUGGUGCAUGGCCGUUCUUAGUUCGUGGAGCGAUUUGUCUGGUUUAUUCCGAUAACGAGCGAGACUCUAGCCUACUAACUAGUCCGCACAUUCCGCACGGUGUGUGCCUUCGGGACUUCUUAGAGGGAUUUUCGGCACUCAAGCCGCACGAAACUGAGCAAUAACAGGUCUGUGAUGCCCUUAGAUGUCCGGGGCUGCGCGCGCGCUACACUGGCGAAAUCAGCGUGCCUGUCCUCUCGCGAAAGCGACUGGUAAACCGGUGAAAAUUCGCCGUGAUUGGGAUCGGAAAUUGCAAUUAUUUUCCGUGAACGAGGAAUUCCAAGUAAGUGCGAGUCAUCAACUCGCGUUGAUUACGUCCCUGCCCUUUGUACACACCGCCCGUCGCUGCCCGAGACUGAGCCAU